rnacentral:lncRNA from 1 species
AGAGAACAGACUAAGCAGCUUCCUUAGGGCUAUCCUGCUAGUUAAAUGGUCAAAGGUGGGAUUUGAAUCCAGAUCCCCUGACUCCACGUCAAGCACUUUCCCACUAUACCAUACCGCCUUUUAAAAGAAGCUAUAGAACCCCAUUGUCAUUUACUAACCAGUCUUCGGUACUCUCUGAGGACAUCACUAGCUUUGGAUCAAUAGAAAGAGGCAGUCAGUGGAGAGUCCCACCAUCAUUCCAAAGGCAGCUUCUCCAGCAUAGCUAAUGUAAUGAACUAUACCUACCAUUUGCAUCAGAUUUCAGUUAAUAAUAACUAACAUGUAUAUAAUAUUUAGUAUGUGUCAGGCACUUUGUAAUUUUUAUCCCUUGUGAUCCUCACAGUUGCUAUUAUUAUGCUCAUUUUACAAUAAACUGAUGCAAACAGAGGUCAAGUGACUUGCCCUGGGUUACACAGUUAGGAAGUAUUUGCAGCCUCAUUUGAACUCAAGUCUCCCCAGCAUUCUUCCCCCUGCAUCACCUCAUGGUUCUUUACCUAUAAUUUAAAAAAAAAUGACUGAUCUAGUAGAUAUUGAUACUAGGGGAAUGAUGGUAAUGGAGAAAUAUCAGAGAUGUAACACCAGGAAGUAAGCUAGGGAAAAGACUGACUCUUGAGCCCCUCCCCCUACACUACUUCCUGUUUCCUUUCAACAGUCUUAGAAAUAUGCUCCUCACUGAUGAUGCUUUUGUCGCUUCUAAAAAUCUUCAUUUACAUUCAACAACAUGAAAAGUGUUUUAAGGAAAGUGAAUUAUUCAACUCUGAAUCAGAACCUAGCUCGGGGUUCAGAGGUUCACAAACAUGCCAAAGAAAGGAGCUACACCAACUGGAUCCAAGCCAGGGAGGAAGCAGAGGCUGGUGGAGAAGUCCUCUACCCAGACAAUACAAUUAAAAUCACUGUAUGUGAGAUGAAGGAGCGCAAUUUCAAACCAGUGUGACUGUUAUAAAAAGAGGCACACAGUGUGAAGACAGGACACCAAAAGAAGGCUAUGGGACAAAGGCAUUUCCAUGGUUUACUUAGAAAGACUGACUUGGGGAUCCACAACUGAAAUGCCAUGUCUGGCCCCAAAAUGGAAAAUAAUUUUGAGUUACUGAAUAG